GGCCCCUUCGUCUAGCGGUUAGGACGUCGCCCUCUCACGGCGAAAGCACGAGUUCGAUUCUCGUAGGGGUCACCA
rnacentral:tRNA from 13 species